UCAUAGCCAUUCUUUAAUUGUUAAAAUAUAUCAUUGCCUUUCCUAAAUAUGAAUUUUCUUUACUACUCGGCUGUUAAUUAAUGAUAAACCAUUUUGGAAAGUUCAUUUACGCCGGAAUAUGUAAACAAUCACGAUAUCGUCAUGAUUUUUUGGCAUUGUAACCAAGAUAUUCUCGCACCUACUAAGAUAUUAUGCUAUUUAGAUCCCACUUUUGAAUCCAAAAUUUUUACAUCUUCCUCAGCUAUAAAUACCCACGGGAACUCGCCAUUCUACACACUCUCAUAGCCAAAGCAACCACCUUACAAAACUCUUGCUAUUUCAAACGCCAUGGCUGCUUCAUUGGCAUUUCUUCGAGACAUCCGGCCUUACAAAACCGCAUGACGUGUCCAAGUUAAAGUCCUGCAUAACUGGCGCCAAUACACGGCGAAUACUGGCGAGACUCUUGAACUCAUUUUGGCCGACGAAACUUGUUUACAACAAGGAAAAUUAAAGGAUCAUCUACAGGCUGUAAAGAGACGGUGAUCUACUUUUUCAUCACUCACAUAAUUUAUUUUGUGAAACGAAUUUGUUCGGACAGAGGAGAGAAAGAAACGGUGACCAUGGAAAACUGGAAAAAAAAAAAAAACAGCUUCAAUUUCAACGAGCUCGGCACCUGAAUCCUUUUUAGUGGGUUUCAAAGAAUUGGGCUUAAAAGCCACAUAAUUUGCCCUAUUACAUUUCGGUUAUCGUAAUGUCCAACAAAAUAAUUGUUAUAUUAAAGCAAACAUAAAUAAUAUACAACGGUGUUACUAUCAUA